rnacentral:rRNA from 1 species
GAAACCUUACGACCCUUGACAUCGUGAUCGCGAUUUCCAGAGAUGGAUUUCUUCAAUUCGGUUGGAUCACAGACAGAUGCUGCAUGGCUGUCGUCAGCUCGUGUCGUGAGAUGUUAGGUUAAGUCCUGCAACGAGCGCAACCCACGCCCUAUGUUACCAGCGGAUAAUGCCGGGGACUCUUAGGGGACUGCCGCGUCAAGCGGGAGGAAGGUGUGGAUGACGUCAAGUCAUCAUGGUUCUUACGGGUCGGGCUACAAACGUACUACAAUGGCGUUAACAAUGGGUCGCAAUACUGCAAAGUAAAGCUAAUCCUUAAAAAACGCCUCAGUUCAGAUUGUCCUCUGCAACUCGAGGGCAUGAAGCUGGAAUCGCUAGUAAUCGCUGAUCAGAAUGCAGCGGUGAAUACGUUCCCGGGUCUU